AAACUCAAAUGAAUUGACGGGGGCCCGCACAAGCAGCGGAGCGUGUGGUUUAAUUCGAUGAUACGCGAAGAACCUCACCCAGGUUUGACAUGCAUGUGGUACUGAGGUGAAAGCCGAGGGACCCUUCGGGGAGCAUGCACAGGUGUUGCACGGCCGUCGUCAGCUCGUGCCGUGAGGUGUUGGGUUAAGUCCCGCAACGAGCGCAACCCCUGUCGCCAGUUGUAUUUUCUGGCGAGACUGCCGAGAAAACCUCGGAGGAAGGAGGGGACGAUGUCAGGUCAGCGUGGCCCUUACGCCUGGGGCUACACACACGCUACAAUGGGUGGUACAAAGGGUUGCCAAGCGGUGACGCGGAGCUAAUCCCAUCAAAGCCAUCCUCAGUUCGGAUUGUAGGCUGAAACCCGCCUGCAUGAAGCCGGAGUUGCUAGUAACCGCAGGUCAGCAUUACUGCGGUGAAUACGUUCCCGGGCCUUGUACACACCGCCCGUCACGUCAUGAAAGUUGGUAACACCUGAAGCCGGUGGGCUAACCGCAAGGAGGCAGCCGUCGAGGGUGGGACCAGCGAUUGGGACGAAGUCGUAACAAGGUAGCCGUAGCGGAAGCUGCGGCUGGAUCACCUCCUUUCUG
rnacentral:rRNA from 1 species